rnacentral:rRNA from 1 species
CCUACGGGUGGCUGCAGUGGGGAAUUUUGGGCAAUGGGCGCAAGCCUGACCCAGCGACGCUGCGUGGGUGAUGACGGUCUUUGGAUUGUAAAACCCUUUUAUGGAGGAGUAAGGCGGGAAGGAGGAAAUGCCUUUCCGUUUGACAGUACUCCAUGAAUAAGCCCCAGCCAACUACGUGCCAGCAGCUGCGGUAAUACGUAGGGGGCAAGCGUUGUCCGGAAUUACUGGGUGUAAAGGGUGUGCAGGCGUCUCCCUAAGUUGAUUGUGAAAGCCCGAAGCUCAACUUCGGAACGGCAGUCAAUACUGGGGGGAUGGAGGUUAUGGGAGGGAAGUGGAAUUCUCGGUGUAGCGGUGAAAUGCGUAGAUAUCGAGAGGAACACCGGUGGCGAAGGCGGCUUCCUAUCAUAGACCUGACGCUCAUACACGAAAGCUAGGGGAGCAAACAGGAUUAGAUACCCCUGUAGUC